GGACAAAUGCGGUGACUAUGCUAAGAACCUUUCCAAGGCUUAUCAAGCUGUGAAUCCUUCUUAAAGAGAGGACUAAUUUUGGAAAUGUGGUGCAUGGCUGUCAGCUCCUCACACUAUCAGGCAUUGGGUUAAGACCUCCAACGAGCACAACCCUUGCAUUUGGAUGCCAUCGUCAAAUUUGGAAUCCUGAACAGACUGCUGGGCAUAGUCUUAAACAAAGGUGAGGUUGGCAUCAACGCACCAUGACCCUUAUUCCUUGGGCGACAC
rfam:Picea glauca, whole genome shotgun sequence.